GAUGAACGCUAGCGGCAGGCCUAACACAUGCAAGUCGAGGGAGAAGCCCUUUCGGGGGCAGAAACCGGCGCACGGGUGCGUAACGCGUAUGCAGCCUACCUUUCACAGGGGGAUAGCCCGAAGAAAUUUGGAUUAAUACCCCAUAAUAUUAUUGGAUGGCAUCAUUUGAUAAUUAAAACUGCGGUGGUGAAAGAUGGGCAUGCGUCCUAUUAGCUAGUUGGAGUGGUAACGGCACCCCAAGGCUACGAUAGGUAGGGGUCCUGAGAGGGAGAUCCCCCACACUGGUACUGAGACAGGGACCAGACUCCUACGGGAGGCAGCAGUGAGGAAUAUUGGUCAAUGGUCGGAAGACUGAACCAGCCAUGCCGCGUGCAGGAAGAAUGCCUUAUGGGUUGUAAACUGCUUUUAUAUGGGAAGAAUAAGGCGUACGUGUACGUUGAUGACGGUACCAUAUGAAUAAGCAUCGGCUAACUCCGUG
rnacentral:rRNA from 1 species